GCGUGGAUGUAAAAGAGAUUUAGCAUCUGAUCGCUAAAAUAGAAUGAAUUACUGAAAAACAAUUUGCGUCAAUCAUCUUUAUUCAAAGUACCAAACUACCAAAGAAUAACGUAUUGAGGGAAAAUGGGUAAAAGCUUUAUCACAACAAUUGACUCCAAAUCAGUUUUGUGUGAGAAGCACUUUCGCGAAGAAGAUAUUAA